GGGGAUGUAGUUCAGUGGUAGAGCACUCACCUAGAACGUGCGAGGCCCUGGGUUCAAUCCCCAGUACCACCA